UCUCCGUAGGUGAACCUGCGGAGGGAUCAUUACAGAGUUCUCGCCCUCGCGGGUAGAUCUCCCACCCACUGUUAUCGUUACUGUGUUGCUUUGGCGGGCCGCCGGGCCCCGCUCGGCCGCCGGCUCCGGCUGGCGCGCGCCCGCCAGAGGCCCAGCAAACUCUGAAUGUUAGUGUCGUCUGAGUACUAUAUAAUAGUUAAAACUUUCAACAGCGGAUCUCUUGGUUCUG
rnacentral:misc_RNA from 1 species